UAGGGAAUCUUCGGCAAUGGACGAAAGUCUGACCGAGCAACGCCGCGUGAGUGAAGAAGGUUUUCGGAUCGUAAAACUCUGUUGUUAGAGAAGAACAAGGACGUUAGUAACUGAACGUCCCCUGACGGUAUCUAACCAGAAAGCCACGGCUAACUACGUGCCAGCAGCCGCGGUAAUACGUAGGUGGCAAGCGUUGUCCGGAUUUAUUGGGCGUAAAGCGAGCGCAGGCGGUUUCUUAAGUCUGAUGUGAAAGCCCACGGCUCAACCGGGGAGGGUUAUUGGAAACUGGGGGACUUGAGUGCAGAAGAGGAGAGUGGAAUUCCAUGUGUAGGGGUGAAAUGCGUAGAUAUAUGGAGGAACACCAGUGGCGAAGGCGGCUCUCUGGUCUGUAACUGACGCUGAGGCGCGAAAGCGUGGGGAGCAAACAGG
rnacentral:rRNA from 1 species